AAAAGGUGUUUCUCUCUCUAUACUCUUUGUCGCCGUCAAUCACUUACACAAAACUUUUUUCUUUAGCCUCUCCUCUCUCGCCGUCUCUCCCAAAUGGAUUUUUUUUUUCUUUUUGUCGACAAAGUCGAAGAGAUGUAGUCAUGUAGAGGAAGAGAAGACGGCAAGAUUUCAUGGCUAAGAAUCUUGAUUUGUAUAAUGAUUUUGUGUUUGUCUGAUCAUCAUCACGAUUUUGAGAUGAUAACCUCAGUCUCAUUAAUUCGCAAUAACUCAACCUCAGAAACAUGCGUGAUUCAUCUCUCCGGUCAAGUAAGCCUUGCUCUGUCGCCGCCGUCAAUUUAUGGUUUCAUGCUCGCAAGAGUUUUUUUGGCCAUGGAAGGUGCAGAGGAUUUCCUUAGAAUAUGAAACAUUUCAAUAUUAUCAAGCUCUGGAUGUGAAAAGGAUUAGAGAGGUGACUUAUAAGAAGAGAGGUGAAGAUGAUUCGGUGAUCAAUUUGAAGAAGAAGAAGAAGAUAUCGACUCCGAACAUGAGUCCAACCCUCAGCCUAAGCCUAAUUACGCUUCUAUAAAUCUCUCCCUCUUCUAUGUCAUUUAAUUCGCCAUGUUUUUUUUUCUUUUCAGUUUUUGCAUAUUCAUGGGCAAUGAUUUUUUUUAUCACACGUUGGACUGAUUUCAUAUGCAAUGGUUUUAUUUAGGUGAAUCUGUAUGCAAGCUAUUAUUAGUCCAUAUUUUACUCCGUUUUCUUACUUUCAAGUAUAAUCUUCUUCUUGACCUUAGUACACGUUGAACUUAAUUCACUAAGGUUAGUUUUAUAAAACAUUUUUCUUUUAAUAGUAGGGAUUGGUGAUGGUUCACUAUCUGUAUAUUUAUACAUCCUUGAAUGGUUUUAGAUUUGAAAAACCGAUACUUAUAAGUAAACAGAUCCUUAUGAUAUUGGUGAUGAUUCGGUUUGUCUAAGUUGUAUAUUGCAUGUUUUGGUAAAUUAAUUUGCAGAGUUUGGUUGUAUCAGUUGCAGGUUCUGUUUCUAAGUUGUAGGUUUAUUUUGAAAUAUAAUUUUGUUUGGUUUACAGGCUUGAUGAUUCACGUUUACAGUUGAAAUUUGAUUUGCUUUAGAUGCGUUUACGAAAUGCUAGGAAACAUGAUGAGGAACUUGACACAAGUGGGACAACAAUUCUCGAGAGUGCAUCUAAUUCCAUGAAACGAUUUGCAGUCCAUCUAGCUCAUCCUCUUAAGCAAUGCAGAGUCCUCCGGGUUGGAGAAGAAAUCGGGAUACACAUACCACCACUCCUCACCAUUUUCUUUGAGGUACGUAUUACUAUUAAAUUCUUUUUGUUACCUUUUUCCUGAACCAUUGUUAAUAUUUCUGGUUUCUUACCUUUUUGUUGUGUAAGUUUGCAGGUUUUAGUUAAUUAUUUUGUAGGGUUCGGUUAAUUAAUUUGCAGAUUUUGAUUAUCUAAGUUGCAUGUUUGGUUUGUCUAAGUUAUUAUAUAGAUUGCAGGUUUCGUUUGUCUAUGUUACAAAUUGUAGGUUUUUGUGAAUUAAUUUGGCUUUAUAAGAUGCAGGUUCAGGUUUGAGAAAAUGCAGGUUUUCUUUGCAGGCUUGAUGAUUCAUGUUUGCAGAUGAAAUUUUAUGUCCCAUAAAUGCUUUUCAAAAUGACUAAAUGAGGAACUCGACAUAAUUGUUACAUUAUAUCUUCUUAGCAGACUUCAACGAUGCAGGGUUCUCCAGGUUAUGAACUGGGGAAAUUUACAAGAAAUAUGUCAAUGGUCGAAUAUGUGGAGCUGUAAGCUGCUAGCAAAAAGACAAGUUUCGUUUUUGUUUUUUUCCAUUAUACUCAUUCUCUCUGUUAAAUUAUUUUGGAAAUCAUUAAUGAUAUUUUAUAUUUUGUGUGAUCCAGUUAUCAAAAUUGAAUUUUGAUCCAUAUUUUGUUGAAAGUGGGAUUCUAUAUGGUUAAUGUUGUUAUAA